rnacentral:rRNA from 1 species
AGCAGUAGCCGCGGGAUACAGAGGAUGCAAACAUUAUCCGGAAUGAUUGGGCGUAAAGCGUCUGUAGGUGGCUUUUCAAGUCCGCCGUCAAUCCCAGGGCUCAACCCUGGACAGGCGGUGGAAACUACCAAGCUAGAGUACGGUAGGGGCAGAGGGAACUUCCGGUGGAGCAGUGAAAUGCAUUGAGAUCGGAAAGAACACCAACGGCGAAAGCACUCUGCUGGGCCGACACUGACACUGAGAGACGAAAGCUAGGGGAGCAAAUGGGAUUAGAUACCCCCGUAGUCCCUGUCUCUUAUACAC